rnacentral:rRNA from 1 species
CAGUAGCCGCGGUAAUACGGAGGGGGCUAGCGUUGCUCGGAAUUACUGGGCGUAAAGCGCACGUAGGCGGCUUGGUAAGUCAUCUGUGAAAUCUCUGGGCUCAACCCAGAGUCUGCAGGCGAAACUGUCGAGCUUGAGUAUUGGAGAGGUGAGUGGAAUUUCCGGUGUAGCGGUGAAAUGCGUAGAUAUAGGAAGGAACACCAGUGGCGAAGGCGACCACCUGGACUAAUACUGACACUGAGGUGCGAAAGCGUGGGGAGCAAACAGGAUUAGAUACCCCCGUAGUCCCUGUCUCUUAUAC